AGCAGUCGCCGCGGGAAUACGAAGGGUGCAAGCGUUAAUCGGAAUUACUGGGCGUAAAGCGUGCGUAGGCGGUUUGUUAAGUCUGUUGUGAAAUCCCCGGGCUCAACCUGGGAAUGGCAAUGGAUACUGGCAAGCUAGAGUGUGUCAGAGGAUGGUGGAAUUCCCGGUGUAGCGGUGAAGUGCGUAGAGAUCGGGAGGAACAUCAGUGGCGAAGGCGGCCAUCUGGGACAACGCUGACGCUGAGGCACGAAAGCGUGGGGAGCAAACAGGAUUAGAUACCCCGGUAGUCCCUGUCUCUUAUAC
rnacentral:rRNA from 1 species